GGGGAAACACGUGGACAAGUUGUUGUGUAUUGUAAAGAUGACCCGAAGCGUGUGUAAAUAAUAAUGUGAGAUGACGAGAUAAAUACACUUACCUGUAAGAUAGCACCACAUAAAAAGACUGUAUCUUGAGCAGACGACAGGUUGUGGUGCUAAAAAACUGAAUUACAGACAAAAUGGAGCUCUUAUCAAUUGUGGAAUAUUGGACCACAGCUGUCACAUUUUUGAUGAUGGCAUCGGGACUGCCAGCAUGUUAUACAAUGUAUAAAAAGAAAAGUACCAAAGAUGUUCCAUUUAUAUUUUUCUUGAUCUGUACCAUGAAUUCAUUGUUUGGUGCCUGUUAUGGAACCUUGACUGGAAACUAUACUCUAUUUAUUAUAAAUAGUGUUGGUUUUUUACUGUGGGGAUUUUAUAUCCUUGUUUAUUUAUUUGUUAGUAAAACGAAGUUCAGAAGUGUAUUUAUGGCUGUUGUGAUGAUGCUAUUAGCUGGAGCACAUUUAAAAUAUGUUGGAUCAAUCCUUGAUGCCCGUCAAAUGACUGCUACAUUAGGUCAAAUCAUGUUCAUAUGGUCCAAUAUUCUUACAUUAACUCCAUUAUUAGAUAUUGUAUCUGUAGUACAACAAGGUACUUCAGAGGGUAUGUCAGUAUCAUUAUUAGUAGGGUGUUCCUUAGCAUCAGUAUCAUGGUUUUUUUAUGGUUAUUUGCUCAAAGAUGUAUAUAUUUACGGACCAAAUAUACCUGGUACAAUGGUAAAUCUUGGUAAAUUUGUUGCAUUAUUUGCCUACCGAAGGCCGUCACAACCAAUUAAAGUUGAUUAGCAAUCAGCGGUUGAAGCUUAACAUUGAAUCGUACUGGACCAAAAUAAACCUUACAUAUUUCUUUUAACUAGUAGAUGUUAAAUAUAUAUUCUUUAUAAUCUAUACAAACUAAUUAUUAUAAUCUUAGUAUUAUAUUGAUUUCGUACCUAAAUGAUUUAGUAUUAUUAGUAGAAAGGAAUAAAGUGUGUUGGUGACCGAAAUAAAUGUAAUACCAAGAUUUUUAAUUGGUCAGUUGAUGGGAUAAAGAUGGUGAAAAAAUAUGCCGUAAUUUUCACAUUGUCUUCAUACUUUAUUCCUUUGUGUUAUUAUAUAUUUAAGUUAAGGAAAUACAUUAACAAUAUAUUCUUUGCACUAGGAAGAUGCCUAUUUACUGUUAGGAAAGUGGUUGAUUGUGGCUAAUACCAUGCUAUGGUUAGACUUUUUGUUGGUCGGUUAACAUAGGCAUAGUUUCAAAUUUGAAUUACUUUUGUGUAAAAUUUGUGUUAACAAUGUGAUUUUGUGCUCUGAUUUGUCUGGCCAACAAAAAAUCAUAUCAGAGGCAAUUUAAUGCUGUGUGUCCAAAAAUUGGAUUUCUUUGCAAUAUAUUGUUAGAUAUGUAAAAAAAGGUAUCUACGCAUUACUUGACUAUAAUAAUUUUCAGUUUUAAAGGAGCUAUUAUAUUUCCCCCAUCUUUGUUAUAAAGAUUUGAUUUUAUUGAUUAUAUUGAUUCUAGUCCAGUGAUUGAAUGUUAUUCUUCAACCGAGAAUGUUAUUGACCAUUUUAUUAUGCAAAACCAUCCUUGAAGGCUACCAUAUAUUCUUCGAAGCUCUGUUGUCUGUUUAUAAAGUUUUAUUUUUUCACGUUAUUGCAUCUAAACAUUUCCUCCAUAAUUUGGAUAUUGUAGAACACCUUGUACUCAUAAUCUCCAUCAAGUUGAUCUGGAUUUAAUUAUAUUUAUAUCUGUAUCAGAUAUAGUAAUUGGAUAUUGAAUCUCUUGCACUUGUGCUAGAAGCUAUUUGAUGCAAGGCAGCUUUUAGAGGGUAGUAACAAAGGAGCAAAUUUAGAAUAUGGUGUCUCUAUGUGUUUUGAAAGGAUAACAAGAUUACAAUUUCACAAUACAUGUUCAAAAAUUUUCAACAAAGAAGAUACACUACUACCCCUGUGCUUCCUUCGCCCAUGAUCUCUUGAUAGAUAAUAAAACUUGUUUAGUGCGCAUAAACCGCCAUUCCUCUCUCUCCUAAUAAAACUAUGCUAGCCUUCAAGUUGAUGGUUUUAUGCCACAAGGCCUUAAUAGAGACAAAUUUAUUUUUACAUUGCAAGAAUUGAUAUAAACCAUAUUUAAUAAUAUAUUACAAAAGAUUUUUCCAAAUUAAUUUUGCAAACUGACAUUUAUGGUAAUGCAUUAUCCGCCUGUGUUUUAGGUAGGAAAUUUGGUAUCAAACCUUAUGAAAUUUAUUACCUUUAUUUAAAUUUGAUUAAAUAUGGUUUAUAUCAGCAAUGUUUAUGCAUUAUAUUUUUAUAAGCCCACAUUUUUAUGUGGACGUAUAUUGUUGUCGCCCCUGUCUGUGUGGACAUCCACAAUUUGUUUGUGGACACUCUACAGGUAACAAUUUUUAUCCGAGUUUGACGAAACUUGGAACAUAGGUUCCUUUCGAUAAUGGCAUGUAUCGGUUCGUAACUUCAUGGAUUAUGGCCCCUGAUUGUACGAAUAAAUCACAUUUUUAGCUUGUGGACACUCUAAGAGGUCACAAUUUAUAUCUGAUUUUGAUGAAACUUAAAAUAUAUGUUUAUAACUCAACGAUCUUGGUUCCUUUCGAUAUUCACACAUAUCGGACAGUAACUUUCUGGAUUAUGGCCUCUGAUGGUACAAAAAAAUUACGAUUUUAGCUUGUUGACCCUCUAGAGGUCACAAUUUUUAUCCGAUUAUGGCCCCUAAUGCCCCUAAUUGAAUGAAAAAUCACGUUCUUAGCGUGUGGUACCUCUAGAGAUCACAAUUUUUAUCCGAUUUUAAAAAAAAUGUUUAAAUAUAUCACCAUUGCACCAAAUUGUACUCAAAUUGUGUACAAGUAUGUAAUACGAAGGUUGUGGACCCUCCAGAGGUCACAAGUUUUAUCUGAUUUAUAAAAAGCGUUUAAAUAUAUCACCGUUACACCAUUAUAAUGGUUAAGUUCGAAUUUUGUGAAAUUCGGACUGAAACUGCAGGACAAAAUGGCCGCUCCUUGUACUCAAAUUAUGUUCAAUUAUGUAAUACGAAGGUUGUGGACCCUGUACAGGUCACAAUUUUUAUCCAGAUUUGAUGGAACUUAAAAUAUAUCCCAAGGCUCUCAGUCCCUUUCAAUAUUCGCGCAUUUCAGACCGUAACUUCUUGGAUUAUGGCCCCCGAAUGUACAAAAAAUCACGCUUUUUUGGUUUUUCUUUGCUUGUUCUUUUUCCAUCUAUUGCAAAAUGUGGGCAUAUCUUGCCUGGCAACAGCUGGUUGACUUUCAGUGUGGAUAAAUGUGCCAUGUAUGUCUGUUAUAUAUCUUGCCUGGCAACAGCUGGUUGACUUUUAGUGUGGAUAAAUGUGCCAUGUAUGUCUGUUAUGUACAUUGUUUUUUCUGAGAAUUUUUAAAUCUAACCCUUUUGUGAAUGAAUAUAAGAACAUGUCACUAAUUUGAAAGUCUUUGAGCAAGUGAUUAUAUAAUUUUACAUGUUGUUUUGUUUUGUUUGUGGAAUGAAUGUUAAAGGGAAUAUGUGUAUGAUAAUCAUUUUUGUUAAUUUACUUUAUUGUGUUUCACUUUGAAUCUCAUUUCUUUGUUCUAAUCAUCAGAACUACAGCAUGGUUUAAAUUACUAAAUAGUUACUAGUUACCAUGCUAAUAGUUGCUAUGAUCUUUUGAUCUUCAAGAACACUUGUUGAUAUUUUGCUUUUUUAUCUUGAGGGGAAACGAUUUAAAAACAGAAAUUACUUCUUUUGUCAUCUUAAAAGCGUUUAGUGCCAUAUUUUUAAAGUAGCUAAGUCUGUAACUCAAUAUCAUCCAAAAUCUUCAACAUUGAAAACACGAUUUAUUUGUCAAAUUAAAUCAACAUUCAUGUUGUGAUCUUACCGGAAAAAGAUGGGCUUUUGAUAUCCAAUAUUUAAGACAAAAUAAACAUUUUACCAUUGGUACACGAAUCGUGUACCAUAAUGCGCUUUAGCCCCAGUUGUAUCAAGAGACUCGAAGGACGAGGCUAGACAUAUUGCACCAAAUCAAACGGCGUAUGUAGACUGGAAUAACCAGACGCUAGAAAUUUGCACUCGCUUGAGACUGCUGGCUUAUUUCGCCGAACAUAACUGAUUUGAAAUUGGAGUAAAAACUGAAACCAUUGAAUGUAAAUCAGUUUAUAUACAUUCAUAUUACAGUAUUAUAUGCGUUGCGACCCACUUUUGUCAAUUUCUAGGUCCCAAAUGUUAGCAAUUUAGCUCCUUUAACCUUUGAAAUUUGAAAACCAAAUAUUAUUCACAAGACUCUGAUAGCAAUUUAUUUAUCAAGAACUAAAGUUCAAUUGGUUUGACCUACCAAGUAUAUUUUAUGGCUACUGUUACUCUUUUGUUACAACAGUGCAAUAGUUCUACUGAUUGCUUCUAAAACAAAACCAGGCUAUACCACUUGAAAAAAUUUCAUUUAUAAUUUAUCUGAAAGCAUGUUUUGUUAUGAUGUCUCAAAUAAUAAGAAGAUUCUACAUGAUAUCAAUAUCAUCUACCUCAUCAUCUUACAAUUCAUAAAAGCUUUACAUCAUUUUAAUUCCCUGAUGUCUUGACAGUUAUAUUUUAGAGGAUAAAAUCCUCUAGAUUCACAGUCUAAAUUAUAUAUAGCGUUAGUAUUUUGUGUAAUUAAGUGCCUUCAAUGACUUCAAGUUUGUGUGUGCUUCAAAUAAAUACAAGCCUAUAUAUAUAGAAUAUGUCAAUGUUAGUUUUCAAGUUUUAUGAUCGGUUUAUAUGGAGGAAUAUUUUAUUGCUUAUUUAGAAACACAUGAACAUAAUCCUUUUACGUAAAAUGGAAGCUAAUGUAACCUGUGUAUGUAUACUUUCAUAUGUUUAUUUGUUUGGAUGGAUGAUAAUCAAGCUUUGUUAAAAAAUAUACGUAAAGAUAUAACCUGUUUGUGUUCCACAGUAAUAAAAAAAAAAAGAAACCAAAAUUAGUAAACAAUCCAACUUCCUCUAAAUGUAUUAAUACUUUGUUUACAUUGCUUUUAAGUUCUGAAAUUAUCAUACCAAACUGUGCUCAGUGGUGGGUGGAAUUUAUGUUCAGAUCUCAUCAAAAUUAUGCUUUUUGUUGUAUUUGCAUUAUUGUCAGAGGGCUAGUCCAUUUUGCUAUUAUAAGUCGCUCAGGAAAUAGUCUCAUUUCUUUGACUUGAAUCUGAUCAGCUGAUUCUAUUAAUAAGUGACAGUCAUUAUGGAAUUUGUUGUUAAAAUUCUGAUUUCUGUUCGUCAGAUCAAAUCUAGGAAAAAAGACAAAAACUGACCAAAUUUGUCUACCAGAUACCUAAUGUAGCGGGGGGGGGGGGGAUGGCCGAAUGGUUAGCAUAUGCGCGCUGUAUCAUAAAGCCUGUCUUUGAGUCAACUGGCGUGGUUUCGAAUCCCCGGUUGUACGUGGCAAGGAGUAGGGUCGCCUGUCCAACCUCAUGGGUUUUCUCCGGGUCCUCCGGUUUUCUCCCACUGCUAAAGAACCCUACGUGCAAGCGAAUUAUUGAAAUAAAAUUAAACCAUAUGUUAGUCCCGAAAUUACCUAGUUUGUGUCGAGUGGAUGUUAAACCCCAUUUCUCUCUGUCUGUUAAUGUAGGUGUGUGUGUGUUGAAAAUAUUAGUAAUAAUUAAAAGAUAUCAAAUGAAAUAUGAUGUAAUGUUAAUUUGAGUUUAUUCUAAAACAACUUAAAUCAUUGGAAUUGGUCUUAGGUUUUAUGUGUUAAUUAAUCAAAUUCUUAAUGGGUAAAAAUGGGUAAAAUGGUUAAAUUGAGUAUUUAGUAAAAUAGUUAAAUUACAAUAAGUAGCUGAUCAUGUGGAAGUGGGUAUUUUGUACAUUGAAGAGGAAAUAAAAUUCUUCGGUUUUAGCUUUGCUUUCCGGAUUUAUAAGAAUUACUUCCUAUUUGUAAAUAUAUUACUUCCAUCCCUGUUAGUUUACAAAUAUUGUUCUUUAUAAUCACUAACAUUCAGAAAUGAAGAGCAUUGACAAUAGAUUGUAUCUAAUUUAAACUAUAUAUUUGUUUCAUUUCGUUUCUUGAUUCUUUUUUUUUCUUCACUACAUACAUGUAAUAUUGAGAUCUGACAUGUGUACAUUCAGCACCCUAUGUCUAUUGGUGUGGCCGAUGAGCUUCAAAAUAGAUCAGUGAACAAUUUGUAGAGUUGUAUUUUCAUUGGCUGUUGUUGUUGUAUAGUAAGAACACAAUUCAAUGAUAAAGCUUGUCAGAUGUUAAACUGAGACAGGUUGAAUAUAAAAUAUGGAAUGAAAAAAGGAAAGAGAAAUGAAUUGAAAAAUGUCUGAUCUAAUGUUACUAGUUAAACAGGUAUUAUGUCGUAAGAACUAAAUCUACCUCUUGUAGGUCUUUCUUUAGGCCUUAAAUGUUACAUUAACUAUUAAUUAGACAUUUAUUAACAUGACAAGACCAUAAUCAACUCUCAAUGCCAUCUGAUGGGUCUGAUUUUAAAUAGAUUUUAAUCCGAUCUGCGGUUAAACGAUGGAUGAAUUGUAACCAUAAAAAUGGAUAAUCGAGACAUUGUUUAUUAUGGUAACAAUGACAAUCGAUUGUUUUUUAAAUGAGGAUUUGUUGGCUUUGAGUGAAGUAAUUUAACUGAAAUUUUCAGCAUAUUCCCUUUACUUUAUCUAUUUUGGAACUAUUACAGUGAGAACUGUCAGCUCUUUAUCUAAUCUUCCAUAAUGCCGCUUUAUUAAUGACAGUGAAUUGUUUUGAUUGAUGUUGAAAACCUGACAAUAUAUAUCAUAAAUAAGAUAAGUUAGUGACAGAUCCAGGUCCUUUCCCCUUAAAUACCACCAUCAAAAAUUCACUUAUUCUCUUUCUAAUAUCCAUGAAUUGUGUAAAUAUGAACUUUUUUGUUGGUUGGGGUGAUGGAAGAGACUAGACCCCACUCGACCCCACACACCAUAUGCAUAUGCCACCACUAACUAUAACUCAUAAUUAAAAUGUUGAAAUAUCUUGAUUUGAAAUAUACAGUCCAUGGUGAAUACACUGACAGUAUACACAUUGGCAUGUAGUAUGUACACAUAAAAUAUACAUUAAACUGUUAUACACAAUAGCAGUUAUACAUAAUUAAUUAUAUUCUUUAAUCUAAAUAAUGGCACAAUUAAACAGGAAUAUUGAUAAAUACAAUAUACUGUAUAGGUACUAGUAUUAAACAAAAAAUUGAUAUUGAUUAGAAAUUUGAAAAAAUUGAUAUGAAUUAGAAAUUUAAACAAAUUGAUAUAGAUUAGAAAUUGAUAAAACAAAUUGAUAUUGACUUUAACUACAUGUAUAACAUGUGUAAAUUAGUUUGAAUGCUUCUGACUCUAUACAUUAUUUAUGUACCAGUAUACGAAGUAGAAUUUGUGUUAUAUACAUAUAUUGGAUGUUAUAUUAUUUUUGCACAUAUAUAAAAAUAUGUUAAAAUUUGUUAAACUAAAAUGCAAUUAAUAAAGGUUUAUU